UGGACCAUGCUCUUUAUUUCCUAUACAAAUUUCCUAUUCCCUCCCUCCUCAAACUCCGCAAACAUAAACAACAAACCCGUUUCUACUCUCUAUUACUUUACUGUGGCACUCUAGUCUAGUGAACUCGGGAAUCAUGGAUACCAGGUGGUCGGAGAAGACCCUCGCCACCGGCAACGGCGUUACGCUGCCGGAAAGCCCAAGAGAGCCCAUGGAGUUCCUCUCUAGAUCAUGGAGCGCCUCCGCUCUGCAGCUUUGCAAAGCCUUAGCUCCUCCGCCUUCUCUGCCUCCCAAGGCCAGCGCCGCCGCUACCACCGCCAACACCAUACCGGAAACCACCGCCGACGCCGAGCCCGAGGCGGCGGCGAAGCUCUCCGGAAACACAUUCUCCUUCGGUUCCUCUGCAACUUCUCAGCUCGUUCUUGAACGCAUCAUGUCACAGUCGAUGCAUAAUGGGCAAGAAAUAUCGCCAUUAACGUCGGGAAGGCUGUCUCAUAGCAGCGGACCGCUCAACGGUUCUCUUACAGAGGAAACCGAUAGCCCUCCCAUCUCCCCCUCCGAGGAGUUUGAAGAUGUCAUUAAGUACUUGAGAGCAAACAACACCCUCCAGCCAUUGUUCACGAACAUGAAGAACGGCAAUUCCAGCGGCGCUAACACGCCGAGCGGGAACGCCGUGAGGAAGUGGCUGAAGGAGAGGAAGGACAAGAAGAAAGAAGAGACGAGAGCGCGGAACGCGCAGGUGCACGCGGCCGUUUCGGUCGCCGGACUUGCCGCUUCGGUGGCCGCAGUCGCCGCCACCACGGCGGCGGCGUCCUCGACCGGGAAGGAUGAGGUGACCGCCAAGAAUGACAUGGCCGUGGCCUCUGCCGCAAUGCUGGUGGCCGCGCAAUGCGUGGAGGCUGCUGAAGCCAUGGGCGCUGAACGUGAACGCCUCAUGUCGUCCAUUAGCUCCGCUAUAAACGUGCGCUCCCAUGAGGAUAUAUCCACUCUCACCGCUGCUGCUGCUACAGCUCUUCGUGGAGCAGCUACUCUGAAGGCAAGGGCAUUGAAGGAAGUUUGGAACAUCUCGACGGUUAAUCCACACGACAAAGGGCAUGGAAUUGGCGCAGGUAGCAACAACAAUGGUGGCGGCUUGUAUGAGGGGGUAGUUGAGGUUGAAGAGAAUUUCUUGGGAGUGUGUAACCAAGAAUUACUGGCCCGGGGUCGUGAGCUUCUCAAGCGAACACGCAACGGUGACCUUCAUUGGAAGAUUGUGUCUGUUUAUAUUCACCAUGGUGGGAAGGUAAUCUUGAAGAUGAAAAGCAAGUACGUUGGAAAUACCAUCACCAAGAAGAAGGAAAACGUAGUGUUGGACGUCUGCAAGGACAUUCCGGCGUGGCCGGGGAGGCACCUGUUUGAGGACGGAGAGCAGCGCAAGUACUUCGGGCUGAGGACCGAGGUACGUGGACUGGUUGAGUUUGAAUGCAAGAACCAGAAGGAAUACGAGCUGUGGACGCAAGGCGUGGCAAGGCUUCUCACUAUCGCGGCAGAAAGAAGAAGGAGAUUCCGCCGAUGAAUGGACAAGAAAACAAAAAAAAAAACUAGAAAUGGGGAAGCUAGGAAGAUGAAGUUUAGUGAAUAUAUGCUUGUGUAAUGCAUUUGAAACUAUUCUAACCUUUUGAAUUUGGGUGAUCUUUGCGAUCCAAAAAAAUUCAAUCUGUCCCA